GGAAAGGAAAACUGUCCGGAGAGGCUCAUGCCUGUAGUCCCAGAACUUUGGGAGGCCUAGACGGGAGGAUUCCUUGAGAUCAACCUGGCUGACAGAACAAGAUCCUAUCUCAAAAAAAAGGGGACGUGGAGGGGAGAGGAAGGAGAGGGAUCACCAUCUCUUUGCCAAUCCCCUCUUAUUAGUCUCCCUCUGUCCUGAGCACUGGCCACACCCUGUCCCUGUGUUUAAAUUCUCCUGCUUCCCCAAGGGCUGUUUCUUGGCUGAAGCCUGUGGUGAGAGAGAAGGGACCUUGACAUCUCUCGGUCAACCAGUCCAGACAUGGUGCCCUGGACAGAAUCACCUGGCAACACCAGGGCUGGGAUAGAGCUCUUCCGACCUUUUCAGGAAACGAGGCAGGGGUCGGGGUGGGGGCUGAAAAGAAAACAACUUUACUGGGCCCUGAUGACCUUCCCUCAGAAACACCACGGUGUCCAUCCGAGAAACUGGGACGGCGAUCCAGCUCUUUGUUUUUCUGGUCACAGGAAUGUCCAGGUACCAGCACCCUGAUUUGACUUCGGAACACCAACCAUCUUCCACUCGGCGUCUGCUUUGGACGGAUCAUCUCCUCACCUUGACCCAGGCCCAGCCAACAACCAGAGGACAGAGAAAGAGCGAGUACAGGAGAGAAUCCGAUUGGCCCAGCCAGAGCCAAGAGCCCAGCUUGAGCCAAUCAGCACCCGCCUGAGAUAAGUACAGAGAGUGGUGAGUGAAUGGGCGGAAAACAAGGCUGGGUCAUGUGAUGUGAGAUUGAACCUCUGUGGCUCUCUCACACCAGCAGGUAGCUUUCGUGGGUAACCUCGGUCUCUUUUUUUUUGAGACAGAGUUUUUGCUCUUGUUACCCAGGCUGGAGUGCAAUGGCGUGAUCUCGGCUCACCGCAACCUCCGCCUCCUGGGUUCAGGCAAUUCUCCUGCCUCAGCCUCCUGAGUAGCUGAGAUUACAGGCACGCGCCACCAUGCCCAGCUAAUUUCUUGUAUUUUUAGUAAAAACGGGGUUUCACCAUGUUGACCAGGAUGGUCUCGGUCUCUUGACCUCGUGAUCCACCCGCCUCGGCCUCCCAAAGUGCUGGGAUUACAGGUGUGAGCCACCGCGCCCGACCCCCUGCCUCUUUUAUCUGGGGAUAAAUGGAGAAGGGAGUACAAGCAAGUUUUCAUUGCCCUGGGGCAUCAGUGCCUACCGCCACUGGGAGGAGAGAAGACCCUAGCACGCACCAAGGGAACCAAGACUGGGUCUCAGAAGCCCUUGUGAUUGAGGGUCAUUUGUGUUCGUUCCAGACAAACCUGGAUUUGAACCUCGACCCCACCAGUUCCCCAACGUUUUUCCUUGGGCAAGUCUCGUCACCCCUCUGAACCUUAGUUCUCACAUCUGUAGAAUGGGGAUGGCAAUGAAAUUCACCUUGUGGGGAUGGAGUGAAAAGCAGGUAUGCCAGGUAUAUGCAGCAUUGGUGGGUAUUAGAGGUCAUUAUAGGGGGACAGAGACCAACAGUUUUUAUUUUAAUAGUUAUGCAUUUAUUUUUAAGGUUACAAUCUAGUUUUGGAAAGUGAUACUGUUUUUUUUCACUGAUGGCAGUGCUCUAAAUUUCCUUUUCAAAAUAAAUGUAUUGAAACAAAAAAAGAAAAUUUAAAG
rnacentral:lncRNA from 13 species